rnacentral:rRNA from 1 species
AGUUUGAUUAUGGCUCAGGAUGAACGCUAGCGGCAGGCUUAACACAUGCAAGUCGAGGGGCAGCGCGAGUAGCAAUACUUGGCGGCGACCGGCGCAAGGGUGCGUAACGCGUGAGCAACAUGCCCGUAUCAGGGGGAUAAUCCAGGGAAACUUGGUCUAAUACCCCAUAGUAAUUUUGUAAGGCAUCUUAUAAGAUUUAAAGCUUUGGUGGAUACGGAUUGGCUCGCGUGACAUUAGCUGGGUGGUAAGGUAACGGCUUACCAUGGCUAUGAUGUCUAGGGGUUCUGAGAGGAAGGUCCCCCACACUGGAACUGAGACACGGUCCAGACUCCUACGGGAGGCAGCAGUGAGGAAUAUUGGACAAUGGAUGGAAAUCUGAUCCAGCCAUGCCGCGUGAAAGGAAGAAGGUCCUAUGGAUUGUAAACUUCUUUUGUAUGGGAGCAAUAAGGCCUACGAGUAGGUUGAUGAGAGUACCAUACGAAUAAGCACCGGCUAACUCCGUGCCAGCCGCGGC